GACGGUAUAGCUCAGUGGUUAGAGCACGUGCUUAGCAUGCACAAGGUCCUGGAUUCAAUCCCCAGCACCUCCA
rnacentral:tRNA from 1 species